GCUGGGUAUGGUGACCCAUACCUGUAAUCUCAGCAGCUCCAGAGGCUGAGGCAGGAGUAUGGCAAAUUCAGAGCCAGCCUCAG
rnacentral:sRNA from 1 species